rnacentral:rRNA from 1 species
UACAGAGGUCUCAAGCGUUGUUCGGAAUUACUGGGCGUAAAGGGUGCGCAGGCCGCGCGGGCAGUCAAAUGUGAAAUUCAGGGGCUCAACCCCUGCACUGCGCUUGAUACUUCCGCGCUCGAGCUUUGGAAAGGAGUCUGGAAUUCUCGGUGUAGCAGUGAAAUGCGUGGAUAUCGAGAAGAACACUUAGAGCGAAGGCAAGACUCUGGACAAAUGCUGACGCUCAUGCACGAAGGCUAGGGUAGCGAACGGG